GCCUUGUAUCGAUCAGGUUUCUCCAAGAAUCUGACUCGAUCCUCUCAGAACCUUCUUUAGACUUCUGAAUUCCCUCCUUUAGGACCUUCUCCAUCUUUGUCUGGAUUUGAUUAGACUUUGUCUUAAGUGCCAAAGUCUUUUCCUAAAACUAGGAGGGAAUGUAAGAAAGAAAGGAGAGCAACCGAGAGAAAAAUGGAAAGCAGAUUGAAUGUCUGGAACAUCCA
rnacentral:lncRNA from 1 species